rnacentral:rRNA from 1 species
GAUGAACGCUGGCGGCGUGCUUAACACAUGCAAGUCGAACGAAGCACUUACAAUUGAUUCUUCGGAUGAAAGAGUUUGUGACUGAGUGGCGGACGGGUGAGUAACGCGUGGGUAACCUGCCUCAUACAGGGGGAUAACAGUUAGAAAUGGCUGCUAAUACCGCAUAAGCGCACAGGACCGCAUGGUCCAGUGUGAAAAACUCCGGUGGUAUGAGAUGGACCCGCGUUGGAUUAGAUAGUUGGCGGGGUAACGGCCCACCAAGUCGACGAUCCAUAGCCGGCCUGAGAGGGUGAACGGCCACAUUGGGACUGAGACACGGCCCAAACUCCUACGGGAGGCAGCAGUGGGGAAUAUUGCACAAUGGGGGAAACCCUGAUGCAGCGACGCCGCGUGAGUGAAGAAGUAUUUCGGUAUGUAAAGCUCUAUCAGCAGGGAAGAAAAUGACGGUACCUGACUAAGAAGCCCCGGCUAACUACGUG